rnacentral:siRNA from 1 species
AAUAAAGCUGUGGGAAGAUACA